UCUGAACUUCCUUGUUUUUCUCUACAGUGGCAGCAAGCUGUCAAAUUCCCUAGUUGAAUUUGCUUUGGACAGCAUUUUGAAGCAGAUCUGAUAUGCCCCUUGAAUUAAUAAAAGAAGUGAAUGGAGUGCCUGAAGUUGAGCUGCUAAGUGAAUUAAGCAAAGUAGAUUUCAGAUCUCUGCAGCCAGGUUGUGAUUAUAGCAAGAAAUACAUCCAGGGAAAACUCUCAACUAUCUCUUCUUUAACUUCUGGUGGAAAAGGAACAGCUGUUUUGAAGAUUGCAUUACAAGAACAAGAAAAUUCGGAUUCAGAGAUCAACUCCAUCAAUGUCUUAUUUUUUGGAAAAUUAGCAAAGGACUGUGCAAAAGUUUUCUAUGAAGGGGACACCAUUGCAGUGGCUGGAUUUACUGUCUUGUCAGCAUCUUCAUCUACAAGCAGAGAUGGUAAACAAUGCUUAUUUUUGAAAGCAUUUGAGGACUUGAGAUCAACUGUUUAUGUUUAUGUUAAAUCCGUGAGAGAUUUUUCUACAGAAUCAAUGACUUUGGUUCCGACAACACACUAUAUAUAUACACCCCUGAAUCAACUGAAGGGUGGUACAGUCGUCAAUGUCUACGGUGUUGUCAAGUUCUUUAAGCCUCCAUAUCUAAGCAAAGGAACCGAUUAUUGCUCAGUCGUAACAAUUGUGGACCAGACAAAUGUAAAGUUAACGUGCCUGCUCUUUAGUGGAAAUUAUGAAGCCCUACCAAUAAUUUAUAAAAAUGGAGAUAUUGUUCGCUUUCACAGGCUGAAGAUCCAAGUAUAUAAAAAGGAGACUCAAGGUAUCACCAGCUCUGGCUUUGCCUCUUUGACAUUUGAAGGAACUUUGGGGGCUCCUAUCAUACCUCGGACUUCAAGCAAGUAUUUUAACUUCACCGCAGAGGACCACAGAAUGGUGGAAGCUUUACGUGUUUGGGCAUCUACGCAUAUUUCACCUUCUUCGACAUUAGUAAAAUUGUGUGAUGUUCAGCCACUGCAGUAUUUUGACCUGACUUGUCAGCUCUUGGGCAAAGCAGAAGUGGAUGGAACAUCAUUUCUUCUAAAGGUAUGGGAUGGCACCAGGACCCCGUUCCCCUCUUGGAGAAUCUUAAUACAAGACCUUGUACUUGAAGGAGACUUAAAUUACAUCCAUCAGCUACAGAAUCUGACAAUAGACAUUUUAGUCUAUGAUAAUCAUGUUCAAGUGGCAAAAUCUCUGAAGGUUGGAAGCUUUCUUAGAAUUUAUAGCCUCCAUACCAAACUUCAGUCAGUGAAUUUGGAGAACCAAGCAACAUUGUUAGCUCUGGAGUUUCAUCUCCAUGGGGGUACCAGUUAUGGCCGGGGAAUUAGAGUCUUGCCAGAAAGUAACUCUGAUGUGGAUCAACUGAAAAAGGUUUUAGAAUCUGCAGAUUUGACAACCGUUAAUGGUUUUGAUGGAAUAUGUCAAUCAGAAUGCGAGGACGGCUUUCGGUCUCUUUCAAGCUCUGGAUCAGUAUCACUGUAUGAGGUAGAAAGAUGUCAGCAACUAUCAGCUACAAUACUUACAGACCAUUACUAUUUGGAGAAAACCCCAAUAUGUGCUAUUUUGAAACAAAAAGCUCCUCAACGGUAUCGUAUCCGAGCAAAAUUAAGGUCAUAUAAGCCCGGACGUCUCUUUCAGUCUGUUAAACUUCAUUGUCCUAAAUGUCAUGCACUGCAAGAAGUUCCACAUGAAGGUGAUUUGGAUAUAAUUUUACAAGAGGGUGCAACUAUAACCCCAGAUACCAAACUACAAAAUACAUCAUUAUAUGAUUCUAAAAUGUGGACCACUACAGAUCAAGGAGAACGAAAAGUAGUUGUUCAUUUUGUGAAAAACAAUGGUAUUCUCCCACUUUCAAAUGACUGUCCGAUUUUGAUAGAAGGAGGAAGACUCGGUGAAAUCUACAAACUCGCGAAUAAGUUUCACAGUGUAAUUCCUGUGAGAUCUGGCCAUGAAGACCUGGAAGUCCUUGACCUUUCAGCACCAUUCCUUAUACAAGGAAAGGUACAUCACUACGGAUGUAAACAGUGUUCUACUUUGAGACCAAUACAAAAUCUAAAUUCCCUGGUUGAUAAAACACCUUGGAUCCCUUCUUCUGUGGCAGAAGUGCUGGGUAUUGUACCUCUUCAACAUGUGUUUCUAAUGACAUUUACUCUUGAUGAUGGAACAGGGGUACUGGAAGCGUAUCUCAUGGAUUCUGACAAAUUCUUCCAGAUCCCAGCAUCAGAAAUCCUAAUCAAUGAUGACCUGCAGCAAAGUAUGGAUAUGAUCAUGGAUAUGUUUUGUCCUUCAGGAACAAAAAUUGAUGCAUACCCAUGGCUGGAAUGCUUCAUCACGUCGUAUAAUGUCACAAGCGGAGCGGAGCAGCAGGUUUGCUAUCAGAUUUUUGACACCACGGUUGCAGAAGAUCUAAUCUAAUAUGCCAUUCGGCUUAGCACAGGUUUUGAGUCCGUGUGUGUCCUGUGCUGCCACUGCUUGUGGGUCACAGGGAUGGACCGGAAUCUUUGACCGGCUGUGCUGUUUGGUUUCCAAAGUCACACCAUGAGUUUGUCACGACUUGUGACUCUCAUUCCAGCUGAUUGUCUUCUACACUUUCUGGAAGCUUUCCUUGGGAUCUGGGGAAAUACCUAGAUUCUUCUGGUUAUUUUCCCUGUUUUGAAUUUUGACCAUUUAUUUCAUCGUUUUAUUUUUAUCCAGAGUUUUGUAAAAUAAAAGCACUAUGCAUUUGUUAAGUAUUCAAACAAUAUAAAGUUUAUGAAGUUGGAGUAAUUCUGACUCUAACUAGUACCCCAGAGCAAACAACUAUAUGAUGUACACUUUUCCAGACUGUUUUCCCUAAGAAUGUGUAAAUAUGUGUAUAUAUAUGUUUUAAAAAUAACAUCGUGCUAAAAAUAUAUUUCUGCAACUUUCUUUUGUCACUUUAUAAAGUAGACUUUGUUUUUUUAUGUCAACAUAAAACAUAGGAGAAACUUGUUUGUAAUUACUCAACAUAAGUAACUUUCUAGUGGGAAUUCUCUGAUUAUUUGACCUUCUAUUUUUGUCGUGGUUUUUGGUCUAUUGAUGUGUUCCAUUAUUGUGACAGUUUGGGAAUUUUAUAUUUUUAUUGUUACCUAUUUUGUUGACUUUGUUGCCUUAUAGUUAGUCAUAAUAAUAUUUUGUUAUCAUUAUUUUAGUCUGUAUUUUGUCUGGUGUUAUUUUCCCUUUAAAUAAAGCUGAAGCCCCUGGGACCUGGCUUCAUGUAUCUGCUGGAGGUUCUUAGGUGAAUUUUGGAGUCCUCUCCAACUUCUAGUACAGACUAGGACCUGCCAUGACACAGUUGUCUUGAAAUGAUUCUUACACGCUUUAAAGGACUCAUUGUGUAAAAAAAAAAAAAAAAAGCCUAUAUGUAUAUAUUAAUGUAUAUAAUGUAAUGUAUAUAUAUAUACACACACACAUAUAAUGUAAAUAUAUAUAUAUUAAUGUAAGAAAGGAGAAUGCCCCCUAUAAUGCUUAUGAGAAAGGCGCUAUGAUGGAUAUGAUGAGUCACCCUAAAGUUGUAAAAUACCAUUUUAGGGGAAAUAAAGAUAAAACUUCCUGUCUUGCCCUUCAGGAUCUCUGGAUGGUGUGAAAGCCUUCUACCCACUCCAGAAAAAAGAACAAACUAGUCAGCUAGUAAAAUCUGGGUCUAGUGAUAUUCCUUCUCUUCCCUCUGGUACUUGGAAAUAGUAUCAGAACUCACUAAACAGGAAGUCACCAGUGUGCUCAGAGAGGCAUGAAUUUCUGCUGUGUCAGAAUAAUAAUUCAUCAUCCACUGUGGUUACCAAGAACAAAUUGAAGAGCUCUUUGUGAGAUUCCAAAGAAGAAUGGAACAUCUCUAUUAGGCCCAGAAUGUUCUUAUAACUGAGAAAAGUCAACUGGACUGAAAUGUCUUAUUGGAUCUAGCAUUAACUUAGUGUGUGAUCUACCAUAUAUGACUCUACUUCCUUGGGCUGCACUUUUCUUCCAGGUUCCGAUAUAAAUAUAUUUGUCAUCUUUUGAAGCACUACCAAACUACCUGUCUUCUGUAGUGAACUUUUGUAAGAAUUAAAGAAGAUGAUUCUCUGAA